rnacentral:misc_RNA from 1 species
GGAACAAGCCAAACUUAAUAAUUUAAUGUUAGAUAAUAUUGGAAAUCAUAUGGGUAUACAUUAAUUUAAAAUAUCUAAAGAAUUCCUUUCUGUUGCGAUAAUCCAUGAUGGCCACCCCACCAAAGUAUUUUGCUGCCUCCUCGGAGGUAAUACUAGCCUCUAUUUUUUAUCUGGGAUUAACUUUAGUUACACGAUAAUCAGUGUACGGUUGCUGGCGUUCUUGAGGAGCAGGAACAAAAACCCUCCUGGACCGGCCGUACCACUGAUCGACUAGUGCAAACUCUUCCAAUCCAACUUCAGAAAGGCGAUUUUCUUGACGUGCCAUCUGCCAAAUAACAAUACUAGACUGCUCAAAUUAUUAAACAAGUAGCUCACUAACUAGC